GACUGUUAAAUACGAUCGUUUCUCAUCUCCUUUUCCAUUUCCUUUUUUUAAUAGUCCAAGACUUUGCUUCGCUUGUCGCAGAGAAUUGACGGAAAAAGUCGCUUACUCGUGUCCACAGUGUGGGCAAGUCUUUUGUGUAGACUGUGACAUGUUCAUUCACGACUCUCUUCACAGCUGCCCUGGUUGCACCGCGGCCCCACAAGGGGAGGGUUAGGAGCUUACGUAACUGUCUUUAACGUCACUUGAUUUGUUACUACAGGGAGGACACUCUUUGCCGGUAAUUCAGUUUGAAGUAUGUAGUGUUUAAUUUACUACGUAGAGACAGAAUUCCAAGAAAAGAAGACUUUGACUUCGGUCAAGUCAUCUUUUUGUUGCCGUGAACAAUUUCAGCCACAACCGGUUUUAAUUGACUUGUUUCAAGUCAAACAGAAAACUUUCUUUACCGUUUUGGUUGGAAACUUCUGAAAAAAGUGUCCACCAACUUGCCCAACAACUGGACCAGUGCUCGACCAGUGUAAAAAAAAAUUAGCCAUACGGCGUUGUGCAAAAGUUGACCAAAUAAACCCACGAUAGUAGGUUUUCUCGCAGAGAAAGCGACAUUGACUUAACAAUGAA